rnacentral:rRNA from 1 species
UACGUAGGGUGCGAGCGUUAAUCGGAAUUACUGGGCGUAAAGCGUGCGCAGGCGGUGAUGUAAGACAGUUGUGAAAUCCCCGGGCUCAACCUGGGAACUGCAUCUGUGACUGCAUUGCUGGAGUGCGGCAGAGGGGGAUGGAAUUCCGCGUGUAGCAGUGAAAUGCGUAGAUAUGCGGAGGAACACCGAUGGCGAAGGCAAUCCCCUGGGCCUGCACUGACGCUGAGGCACGAAAGCGUGGGGAGCAAACAGG